UAGUUCAAAGGAAUUGAGACGAUCUUCAAUUGGCUCACCCCGUUCUUCAGCAAGAUCGUCAUGGGUGUCUAAUCCAUCAAUCAGAUAGGGGUUAGACUGACCAUUUCUUUGUAAGGCUAUGUUAUAGCAGUGUCUUGCCAGGACUUGAUCUCCUCUGACCUCUCCGAUCCCUUGGCUUGUAGAAAAUUUCAAUUUCAAAUGGU
rnacentral:lncRNA from 1 species